rnacentral:rRNA from 1 species
AGAACGAACGCUGGCGGCAUGCCUAAUACAUGCAAGUCGAACGAACACUUCGGUGUUAGUGGCGCACGGGUGCGUAACGCGUGGGAAUCUGCCCUUGGGUUCGGAAUAACAGUUGGAAACGACUGCUAAUACCGGAUGAUGACGAAAGUCCAAAGAUUUAUCGCCCAGGGAUGAGCCCGCGUAGGAUUAGCUAGUUGGUGAGGUAAAGGCUCACCAAGGCGACGAUCCUUAGCUGGUCUGAGAGGAUGAUCAGCCACACUGGGACUGAGACACGGCCCAGACU